rnacentral:piRNA from 1 species
UCUGAUUUCUUCUGUGCCUGCUCGUCGC